rnacentral:rRNA from 1 species
GGACUACUGGGGUAUCUAAUCCCGUUUGCUCCCCUGGCUUUCGCGCCUCAGCGUCAGUUGAGGUCCAGCAUGCCGCCUUCGCCACCGGUGUUCCUUCCGAUAUCUACGCAUUUCACCGCUCCACCGGAAGUUCCACAUGCCCCUACCUCACUCCAGACGUCCAGUAUCACAGGCAGUUCUCCGGUUAAGCCGGAGGAUUUCACCCCUGACUUGGACAUCCGCCUACGCGCCCUUUAAGCCCAGUGAUUCCGAACAACGUUCGCACGGUUCGUCUUACCGCGGCUGCUGGCAC